UACGUAGGGUGCGAGCGUUGUCCGGAAUUAUUGGGCGUAAAGAGCGUGUAGGCGGCCAGGUAGGUCGGCUGUGAAAACUCGAGGCUCAACCUCGAGAUGUCGGCCGAAACCAUCUGGCUAGAGUCCGGAAGAGGAGAGUGGAAUUCCCGGUGUAGCGGUGAAAUGCGCAGAUAUCGGAAGGAACACCAGUGGCGAAGGCGACUACCUGGCCUGUUCUUGACGCUGAGGCGCGAAAGCUAGGGGAGCAAACAGG
rnacentral:rRNA from 1 species